AGCAGUGUGGCAAAGUGGUAAGGCACGGGGCUUGUAACCGAAAGGUUGCUGGUUCGAUUCCCCACUGGGG